rnacentral:tRNA from 1 species
UGGGCUGUGGCUCCGUGUAGAGCACUUGCCUGGCAGGCAUGAAGCCCUGGGUUCCAUCCUCAGCACUACAA